rnacentral:lncRNA from 1 species
GAAAACAUAUCCGCUAAAUGCUGAAUGAGGUUGAAUGCAGACGAUUGACUGCAACUAGCUGAAAAUAAUAAUAUAGCCACAUUAGUGGCAUUAUGAUUUGUGUUGCUAGUUUCCUUCUCCAUUCCUUUGGAAUUAUUUUAAGUUAUUUUAGAUUGAAAAGAAGCUACAGAGUUCUUCAUGGAAGCCAUCCUUAUGAGAAAAGUUUAAAAUCAUUGGUUCAGUGCCAAUGCCAAUCAAUAGUUGGACCAGAAUGCAUUGACAUAGUGACACCCGAUAUAGGUCAGUACAUACUGGAGGGGAGAGAGAGAGGAGUGGAGGAGGAGGAGGAGGCAAAAGAAGAACAAGUUGAAAAGAAGUCAUAAGAGGAGGAGGGGGCAGAUAAGGAAAAGGAAAAGACAAAGGAGGAAGUAAUAGAAUAAAAGAUGGACUAGUAUGAGGAAUAGGAAGAGGCAAAGGAUGAGGAGAAAGCAAAGGAGGAGGCAGCAGGGAAAAGAUGGACUAGUAGGAGGAGGAGGAGGAAUAGGAAGAGGCGAGGAUGAAGAGAAAGCGAAGGAGGAAGAGGUGGCGGAGGAAAAGGCAUAUCACUAAGAGGAGGGAAUGGUGAUGUAGACGAGGUGGUGAAGGCGACAACAGUGUGCUACGGGACAGAGGAUGUGGCAGCAAUGAUGCAACGAUGUGACAGCGAAGCGGAGGAGGCGACAAAUGAGGGGGGAAAGAGAGAUCAAGUGAGAGGAGAAAGAUCAUGUAAGAAAGAGAGAGAAUGCCAGAAUCAAAGAAUAAAAAUAAUUGCCAUUGCUCAUUUGUUCAAAACUACAAAGAGAUUAUAGAGACUGAGUGAUUAACUUACUACCUGGUUCCAGACUGUUCACCACAGGGUAAGCCUGGUACUGUGAACUGAAUGUGUGGUAUCGCCCAUGUUGGUACCAAGCGACUGAAAUCAGCUGUUCUACACUCUGGUUGGCUAUUGGAUCAGUAUAUAUAUAUAUAUACACGUACUAACCAGUACAAGUGGCAUUUGUUACCUUGCUUAUGGGCACCCUGAAUCACAAUAGUCAUCUUUAUGGAAGUCAUCAUUAUAGAUGCUGAAGUCCAUCAUGGUGUUGUUGAUAUAUAUAUAUAUAUAUAUAUAUUCAUCUCAAAUUAUUGGUGUUAAUCAUUUUUUAGUAGUCAUAGUGCGACUAUUUUGUUAGAAAAUUUAUGUUCAAUCUGAACUAGCCCUUAUGAGAAUGAGCGAAAACAUUGGUACGAUAGUUCUAGAAAUAAUCUUUGAAAUAGACUCCUUGAUUUCAAUUAUGAACCUAGUAAACAAUUUUACAUACGAAAAGUGCAUUUUAUAUUUACUAUUUUACCUUAGAUUUGCUCAUUAUCCAUUAGAUUGUUAUUUUAUAUAAUGU